UUGAAAGGGAAACGAUUGAAGUCAGUCGUACCAGCGGGAAAUCAACCUUUCGAGUGGGGGUUUUGGAGUUUUGAAGAGUUUCAAAACCUUUGAGAUUUCAAAAUUUUCGCUCCUUUGGUGUACUUUCUCGUGGGUAGGUUAACAUCGAUUUCGAUCAUCAUAAAAGGAUUGGAGGAAUGUAGCUUCGAUCUUGUAUUGAAGUGUUAUAGCCUUUGGUAAAUGUGAUGACUGGGAUCGAGGAUUGCAACGAAUACCCUUUUGGGCUAUCCGCCUGAUCUCUGAUACGUGGCCUUGGUAUCGAAAGCUUGCUUAUGGUAUUAAGGUAUUACGGUCAAAAGGUUAGAACGGAUNNCAUCGUUAAGGAUGUUGACGUA
rnacentral:rRNA from 1 species